rnacentral:rRNA from 1 species
AUGAACGGGAAGAGCUCAAAUUUGAAAUCUGGCGUGCUCAGUGCGUCCGAGUUGUAAUCUAUAGAGUCGUUUUCCGUGCCGGACUGUGUCCAAGUCCCUUGGAACAGGGUAUCAAAGAGGGUGAUAAUCCCGUACUUGACACAAUGACCGGUGCUCUGUGAUACGUCUUCUACGAGUCGAGUUGUUUGGGAAUGCAGCUCAAAAAUGGGUGGUGAGUUCCAUCUAAAGCUAAAUAUUGGCGAGAGACCGAUAGCGAACAAGUACCGUGAGGGAAAGAUGAAAAGCACUUUGGAAAGAGAGUUAAACAGUACGUGAAAUUGUUAAAAGGGAAACGAUUGAAGUCAGUCGUGACUGAGAGGCUCAGCCGGUUCUGCCGGUGUAUUCCCCUCAGUCGGGUCAACAUCAGUUUUGUUCGGUGGAUAAGGGCAGUUGGAAGGUGGCACCCUCGGGUGUGUUAUAGCCAGCUGUCGCAUACAUCGGAUGAGACUGAGGAAUGCAGCUCGCCUUUAUGGCCGGGGUUCGCCCACGUUCGAGCUUAGGAUGUUGACAUAAUGGCUUUAAACGACCCGUCUUG